GUUUUGUUGCUUUUAAUACAGUUUUGUUAGUAAUAUUGAGGGGGAGGGGCUGCUCAGCUAGCAAGCCCUCUUGCCACUUGGUUAUGAUACUCAUGGCUACAGUGCUGUACUGAGGGUUGAUGUUGUGUCCAGUGGAGGGAGCUCAAGUCUAAUCAAGUCAAUCGAUAUAGAAAAUAAGUAGGAGAUGUAUACACUGAGGAAUUUGGCCUAUAGCUGUUCCAACAACAAAGUAAGUCCAAUAAUAUUGUAUACAUUGUGAUGGUCGUUGUGGUUUGUUGUUCAACCUUGUGGAUGUUAACUGUAGUAACUGACCAGGGGCGUAGCCAGGAGGGGUGCUAGGGGUGCUCGAGCACCCCCAUCCAGCCUGAGUCAAGGUACAAAAUACAGAAAUGUAUCUGAUUAUCUAGCUGAGCACCCUUUCUCUUCCAGAUCUUGCUGCAGUUAGCUAGCUAGUAGUCAGUCACUAAACUGUGAGCUAUUCUGGCUUAAAUCUAUGAACUAGAGUAAAGUAUCAAUUAUCAGACAGAACGUAUAAUCAGACAGCUGCCGGAGGAGAACGGAUGGGCGAAACAAACUGAUUUUUCACCUUGCAUAAAAGUUUACUUUUGUUCUCUAGUGUGGAAUAAUGGCAGAUUUUAAGGUCAGAUGGACAGAGGUUCAGGUAACAACAAUCGAAAUCAGUAUACACAUGCAUGCAUGCACAGAGACACACAUGCUAUUUAUACAAAACGGAUAAACAGUAUAGAACACUAAUACCAAACUUGCUAAAUAAGAUCAGGCAACUAAAGCUACCAUUAGCUAACAAGAAUAGUGACAGCUCACUAUUUACAACAAAUCACAAGCUGUCUAAAACCACAAGGGCAUGUUAUAAUGUCCUUUCCACAUAUUUUAAGGAAGAUCUCACAGAAAUAGUAGAAAAAUGUGAAAAAUACACUGAGAUCUGGCUAAAACAGAUAUUAAGAGCUUUGCAAUUAAUAUAUUGUGCAGCACAGUGCACAAUUCAUACCUCUUCCAUGUUUUUUCUAUACAUGGUAGAAGAUGUGAAUCGGUGUGGGUGCCCCAAGUAUCACUGCCCCCCAAGUAUCACUGCCCAGCUGUCAUUGUGGCUUCACUAGCUCACUGCGCAUAAUUUGGAGACACCAAAUUCUCAUAGUCUGGCUCAUUGUCAUCACCUUCUGCACUGUGGUCAUUUAUUAGAUGUACUGUAUUAUCUUUCAUUUAUCUUCCUGCCUGCUUCCAAAGGCAUUGAGAGGUUAUCACUCUCGUGUGGAGGAAGUGUAUUGCACACUAUAAGGUUAUACUAUAAGCAACUCGUACCCAUGCAUGUCUUCAUUCAACUACUCUCUAAUUUAUCACUCACACGUUUCUUUCAGAAACAGAAAGGAUAUUAUCGUAACCAGAUGGUACAUUCAUCAAGGUGAUCCUGGGAUAUAAUUAUAUCUGCACUUUCAAUUUCAACUUGAGUAAGUGUUUGGGUUUUCUUACAUAUUUUUGAGCCCAGUAGAGAGUUAAAACAACUAGAGAACAAGUAAUGCUAGCACUCCACGACCAUACAUGUAUGUGUGAUGGGUGCCAUCAUUGUCAAAGUCAGCUGGGAAAAUAGAAAAAACAACAAAGCACACUGCACGAAUGUGAGAUCACAGUGACUAUGAAAGUGUCAUAGUUAUUAUACCUGUCUUAAUACACUUCAUAUACUUAGUCUCUAGCACUUGCAAUUGUAAUGCUUAUAUAGGUGGUGUGUGACAUGGAUUGUGUGAACUUACUUGAUGUAUAGUUACUGUCAAGUUCACUGCAGUAACUCUAGAAGUAAGUUGAGUUUGCAUGUGGUUGCGUUUGUGCUGUUUGCAGCUCUCUGGGGAAUUGCUAAUUAUUAUUACUACUAUAAUAGUCAAUUAUUUCACUUGCUUGCUUACUAUAAUAUUAUACACUAUACAAAAGCAGCAUCAGGCUCUUUAUUCGAUCGUAUAUUAAUUAACUGCUUGCAACUUCUGCUAUAAUAUUAUAUAUAUUUAAUUUAGUAUAUAGAUCCACUCUUCAGACUGUGAAGCAUACUUUAUUUUUUCUAUGGAGGCAGGAACCAGAAAAUAAAAUACAGGAAAUACUGGGUGGAUGCGUUACGCGUAUCACUGGGGAUCAGAAAUUCUCCUACUAUACCUAUACCAUGCAGGGCCAUUUUCCACAUCCAAAACACCAUCACUACUUUCCAAUCGCUUGAAGUAACACAGUAGCAUAUACGUAGAUACAACACUUGAUCUCAUGAUCAUAUGCAUGCACACUCGUUCUAUGUGAUAAUUAUAUAAAUGGACACUACUAUAUCACAACAUUAAUUACCUCUGAAUUAUUGUGGCCUUAAUAUUCGAUUACUUGUAGUUUACCAUUGUUCAUAGUGACUUAUAAGUUGUGUAUCAUAUGAUUUUCAUAUCCUGUGUUUGUUUCCUGGUUGUUUGGUGUAUUUAAUCUUUGUUUCAUUAUCAUAAUUGCUCAUUAUUGACUAAUUGUAUAUUGAAAGCUAAACUGUUAACUGUAUAGUGUAGGACAAAGAUACUACAGAAAGUUUGCCGACGUAAAUGAAGUAGUGCAUGCAUGGGAAUUAGUACCCUAUGGAAUAAUUUUAUCAGACGUAAAGAACAUAUACAAAGAGCCUAGAGCAAGGUAGUGGAGGUACAAAAUGGAGCAUGACAAAGUUACAGAUGUGAACUACUAUUGGGUUAUUCCACUUUUUGUGGGAGUUAUACCUGCAAUUGGCAUCCUUCUUUGUUUGCACUUUUGUCAUCGGAGGAUCAGAAUGAAGGGUGAAACACUAAGACGAACACUACGGGAGCUUCAUAGAGUGCAAACGAAUGAAGCCAGUGAAAACACUGAACAGACAUCCCCUCCACAAGAAAGUUCAUUGCAUGAAGUGAUUUCAGAACAGCAGUUUGUUAACGCUACAAGUACAGGUGCUGAGAAUGAAGACAAUGAAUACGAUUACAUUGAUGAUAUUGCAUUUGAUGGUGAACAGUUUGUUUUUGAAAACAAUCAGUGCUAUAAUACAGUAAACAGGCCGAGAGACACUAAUCAACAAAGGAAUGUACACGAUCCAUCAUAUGAGAAUGUUGUAGUAACAGUGCACAAAUAACACUUCUGUGUCAUCAGGUCAUCAUUAUAAACAGAACAUUGAUAUUAAAUUAUAGUACAGUAACGUACUGUAAACAGUGGUGUAGGAAGCAAUUUCUCAAUGGAGGGGGCUCUAGUUUUUUUAAUGAAAAAAGUUAAAUUUAGUGCAGCUUGAUAAGAUCUCUUCCUACACCACUGGUAGAUCACCAUGCAUAUAUAAUUAUGCUGUUGUAUACCAUAAAAUUAAUGUGACAAUUCUAAAGCUGCAUGCAUGUUGAUUAUGAGGUGCC